rnacentral:sRNA from 1 species
UCAGACCCAGGCAUAACAUCCAUCAGGGUGUAUUGCGGCAGAUACGCUGCCAUCCCGAAAGUAGAUCAGCGGGAUGACAGCGUAUCUGUCAGCCUGAAAGAUGACCCGUAUAACUAAAAAGGCCGCAUUGCGGCCUUUUUUCUUUGUGUAACAAUCUGAUUUAUAAUUAUUUUUUUCUGUGUGUCCCUC